rnacentral:rRNA from 1 species
AAGGCUGAGGCGUGAUGACGAGGCACUACGGUGCUGAAGCAACAAAUGCCCUGCUUCCAGGAAAAGCCUCUAAGCAUCAGGUAACAUCAAAUCGUACCCCAAACCGACACAGGUGGUCAGGUAGAGAAUACCAAGGCGCUUGAGAGAACUCGGGUGAAGGAACUAGGCAAAAUGGUGCCGUAACUUCGGGAGAAGGCACGCUGAUAUGUAGGUGAAGUCCCUCGCGGAUGGAGCUGAAAUCAGUCGAAGAUACCAGCUGGCUGCAACUGUUUAUUAAAAACACAGCACUGUGCAAACACGAAAGUGGACGUAUACGGUGUGACGCCUGCCCGGUGCCGGAAGGUUAAUUGAUGGGGUUAGCGCAAGCGAAGCUCUUGAUCGAAGCCCCGGUAAACGGCGGCCGUAACUAUAACGGUCCUAAGGUAGCGAAAUUCCUUGUCGGGUAAGUUCCGACCUGCACGAAUGGCGUAAUGAUGGCCAGGCUGUCUCCACCCGAGACUCAGUGAAAUUGAACUCGCUGUGAAGAUGCAGUGUACCCGCGGCAAGACGGAAAGACCCCGUGAACCUUUACUAUAGCUUGACACUGAACAUUGAGCCUUGAUGUGUAGGAUAGGUGGGAGGCUUUGAAGUGUGGACGCCAGUCUGCAUGGAGCCGACCUUGAAAUACCACCCUUUAAUGUUUGAUGUUCUAACGUUGACCCGUAAUCCGGGUUGCGGACAGUGUCUGGUGGGUAGUUUGACUGGGGCGGUCUCCUCCUAAAGAGUAACGGAGGAGCACGAAGGUUGGCUAAUCCUGGUCGGACAUCAGGAGGUUAGUGCAAUGGCAUAAGCCAGCUUGACUGCGAGCGUGACGGCGCGAGCAGGUGCGAAAGCAGGUCAUAGUGAUCCGGUGGUUCUGAAUGGAAGGGCCAUCGCUCAACGGAUAAAAGGUACUCCGGGGAUAACAGGCUGAUACCGCCCAAGAGUUCAUAUCGACGGCGGUGUUUGGCACCUCGAUGUCGGCUCAUCACAUCCUGGGGCUGAAGUAGGUCCCAAGGGUAUGGCUGUUCGCCAUUUAAAGUGGUACGCGAGCUGGGUUUAGAACGUCGUGAGACAGUUCGGUCCCUAUCUGCCGUGGGCGCUGGAGAACUGAGGGGGGCUGCUCCUAGUACGAGAGGACCGGAGUGGACGCAUCACUGGUGUUCGGGUUGUCAUGCCAAUGGCACUGCCCGGUAGCUAAAUGCGGAAGAGAUAAGUGCUGAAAGCAUCUAAGCACGAAACUUGCCCCGAGAUGAGUUCUCCCUGACUCCUUGAGAGUCCUGAAGGAACGUUGAAGACGACGACGUUGAUAGGCCGGGUGUGUAAGCGCAGCGAUGCGUUGAGCUAACCGGUACUAAUGAACCGUGAGGCUUAACCUUACAACGCCGAAGGUGUUU